rnacentral:rRNA from 1 species
UACGUAGGGUGCAAGCGUUGUCCGGAUUUAUUGGGCGUAAAGAGCUCGUAGGUGGCACUGUAGGUCAGAAGUAAAAACGCAAGGCUCAACCUUGCGUCGCUUUUGAAACCGCAGAGCUUGAGUAUGGCAGGGGAGAAGGGAAUUCCACGUGUAGCGGUGAAAUGCGCAGAUAUGUGGAGGAACACCAGUGGCGAAGGCGCUUCUCUGGGCCAUUACUGACACUGAGGAGCGAAAGCGUGGGGAGCGAACAGG